rnacentral:rRNA from 1 species
UUAAGUGACUAAGCGUACACGGUGGAUGCCUGGGCAGUCAGAGGCGAUGAAGGACGUACUAACUUGCGAUAAGCGCAGAUAAGGCAGUAAGAGCCGUUUGAGUCUGCGAUUUCCGAAUGGGGAAACCCAACUGCAUAAGCAGUUACUGUUAACUGAAUACAUAGGUUAACAGAGCAAACCGGGGGAACUGAAACAUCUAAGUACCCCGAGGAGAAGAAAUCAACCGAGAUUCCGGUAGUAGCGGCGAGCGAACCUGGAUUAGCCCUUAAGCACUCGGUGAAGUAGGUGAACAAGCUGGAAAGCUUGGCGAUACAGGGUGAUAGCCCCGUAACCGACGCUUCAUCGAGCGUGAAAUCGAGUAGGGCGGGACACGUGAUAUCCUGUCUGAAUAUGGGGGGACCAUCCUCCAAGGCUAAAUACUCCUGACUGACCGAUAGUGAACCAGUACCGUGAGGGAAAGGCGAAAAGAACCCCUGUGAGGGGAGUGAAAUAGAACCUGAAACCGUGUACGUACAAGCAGUAGGAGCACCUUCGUGGUGUGACUGCGUACCUUUUGUAUAAUGGGUCAGCGACUUAUAUUCAGUGGCAAGGUUAACCGUAUAGGGGAGCCGUAGCGAAAGCGAGUCUUAACUGGGCGUUCAGUCUCUGGAUAUAGACCCGAAACCGGGUGAUCUAGCCAUGGGCAGGUUGAAGGUUGAGUAACAUCAACUGGAGGACCGAACCGACUAAUGUUGAAAAAUUAGCGGAUGACUUGUGGCUAGGGGUGAAAGGCCAAUCAAACUCGGAGAUAGCUGGUUCUCCCCGAAAGCUAUUUAGGUAGCGCCUCGGACGAAUACUACUGGGGGUAGAGCACUGUUAAGGCUAGGGGGUCAUCCCGACUUACCAACCCUUUGCAAACUCCGAAUACCAGUAAGUACUAUCCGGGAGACACACGGCGGGUGCUAACGUCCGUCGUGGAGAGGGAAACAACCCAGACCGCCAGCUAAGGUCCCAAAGUAUUGCUAAGUGGGAAACGAUGUGGGAAGGCUCAGACAGCUAGGAUGUUGGCUUAGAAGCAGCCAUCAUUUAAAGAAAGCGUAAUAGCUCACUAGUCGAGUCGGCCUGCGCGGAAGAUGUAACGGGGCUAAGCAAUACACCGAAGCUGCGGCAAUAUCUUUUAGAUAUUGGGUAGGGGAGCGUUCUGUAAGCCGUUGAAGGUGGAUCGUAAGGUUUGCUGGAGGUAUCAGAAGUGCGAAUGCUGACAUGAGUAACGACAAAGGGGGUGAAAAACCUCCUCGCCGGAAGACCAAGGGUUCCUGUCCAACGUUAAUCGGGGCAGGGUGAGUCGACCCCUAAGGUGAGGCCGAAAGGCGUAAUCGAUGGGAAACGGGUUAAUAUUCCCGUACUUCUGACUAUUGCGAUGGGGGGACGGAGAAGGCUAGGUGAGCCAGGCGACGGUUGUCCUGGUUCAAGUGCGUAGGCUUGAGAGUUAGGUAAAUCCGGCUCUCUUUAAGGCUGAGACACGACGUCGAGCUGCUACGGCAGUGAAGUCAUUGAUGCCAUGCUUCCAGGAAAAGCCUCUAAGCUUCAGAUAGUCAGGAAUCGUACCCCAAACCGACACAGGUGGUCGGGUAGAGAAUACCAAGGCGCUUGAGAGAACUCGGGUGAAGGAACUAGGCAAAAUGGUACCGUAACUUCGGGAGAAGGUACGCUCUUGAUGGUGAAGUCCCUCGCGGAUGGAGCUGACGAGAGUCGCAGAUACCAGGUGGCUGCAACUGUUUAUUAAAAACACAGCACUGUGCAAAAUCGCAAGAUGACGUAUACGGUGUGACGCCUGCCCGGUGCCGGAAGGUUAAUUGAUGGGGUUAGCGCAAGCGAAGCUCUUGAUCGAAGCCCCGGUAAACGGCGGCCGUAACUAUAACGGUCCUAAGGUAGCGAAAUUCCUUGUCGGGUAAGUUCCGACCUGCACGAAUGGCGUAAUGAUGGCCACGCUGUCUCCACCCGAGACUCAGUGAAAUUGAAAUCGCUGUGAAGAUGCAGUGUACCCGCGGCUAGACGGAAAGACCCCGUGAACCUUUACUACAGCUUGGCACUGAACAUUGAACCUACAUGUGUAGGAUAGGUGGGAGGCUAUGAAGACGUGACGCCAGUUGCGUUGGAGCCGUCCUUGAAAUACCACCCUUGUAUGUUUGAUGUUCUAACUUAGCCCCAUUAUCUGGGGUGAGGACAGUGCCUGGUGGGUAGUUUGACUGGGGCGGUCUCCUCCCAAAGAGUAACGGAGGAGCACGAAGGUGGGCUAAUCACGGUUGGACAUCGUGAGGUUAGUGCAAUGGCAUAAGCCCGCUUAACUGCGAGAAUGACGGUUCGAGCAGGUGCGAAAGCAGGUCAUAGUGAUCCGGUGGUUCUGUAUGGAAGGGCCAUCGCUCAACGGAUAAAAGGUACUCCGGGGAUAACAGGCUGAUACCGCCCAAGAGUUCAUAUCGACGGCGGUGUUUGGCACCUCGAUGUCGGCUCAUCACAUCCUGGGGCUGAAGUCGGUCCCAAGGGUAUGGCUGUUCGCCAUUUAAAGUGGUACGCGAGCUGGGUUUAGAACGUCGUGAGACAGUUCGGUCCCUAUCUGCCGUGGGCGUUGGAAGAUUGAAGGGGGCUGCUCCUAGUACGAGAGGACCGGAGUGGACGAACCUCUGGUGUUCGGGUUGUGUCGCCAGACGCAUUGCCCGGUAGCUAAGUUCGGAAUUGAUAAGCGCUGAAAGCAUCUAAGCGCGAAGCGAGCCCUGAGAUGAGUCUUCCCUGAUACUUUAAGU